GAUGAACGCUGGCGGCGUGCUUAACACAUGCAAGUCGAACGAAGCGAUUUUAAAGAAGUUUUCGGAUGGAAUUAAAAUUGACUUAGUGGCGGACGGGUGAGUAACGCGUGGGUAACCUGCCUUGUACAGGGGGAUAACAGUUAGAAAUGACUGCUAAUACCGCAUAACCCGCUAAAGUCGCAUGACUUAGACGGAAAAGAUUUAUCGGUACAAGAUGGACCCGCGUCUGAUUAGCUAGUUGGUGAGGUAACGGCCCACCAAGGCGACGAUCAGUAGCCGGCCUGAGAGGGUGAACGGCCACAUUGGGACUGAGACACGGCCCAAACUCCUACGGGAGGCAGCAGUGGGGAAUAUUGCACAAUGGGGGAAACCCUGAUGCAGCGACGCCGCGUGAGUGAAGAAGUAUUUCGGUAUGUAAAGCUCUAUCAGCAGGGAAGAAAAUGACAGUACCUGACUAAGAAGCCCCGGCUAACUACGUG
rnacentral:rRNA from 1 species